rnacentral:rRNA from 1 species
UACGGGGGGGGUAAGCGUUGUUCGGAAUUACUGGGCGUAAAGGGCUCGUAGGCGGCCAACUAAGUCGGACGUGAAAUCCCUCGGCUUAACCGGGGAACUGCGUCUGAUACUGGAUGGCUUGAGUUUGGGAGAGGGAUGCGGAAUUCCAGGUGUAGCGGUGAAAUGCGUAGAUAUCUGGAGGAACACCGGUGGCGAAGGCGGCAUCCUGGACCAAUACUGACGCUGAGGAGCGAAAGCCAGGGGAGCAAACGGG